rnacentral:antisense_RNA from 1 species
CUUCAGCGACCCCAGCCACACCGGCCGCCCCUCGGGCCGGUCCUGACCGUACGUGGCCAGCAGCGCGUCGGCCUC